CACAUGCAGUCGAGCGGUUGACGGGAGCUUGCUCCUGAUUCAGCGGCGGACGGGUGAGUAAUGCCUAGGAAUCUGCCUAUUAGUGGGGGACAACGUUUCGAAAGGAACGCUAAUACCGCAUACGUCCUACGGGAGAAAGCAGGGGACCUUCGGGCCUUGCGCUAAUAGAUGAGCCUAGGUCGGAUUAGCUAGUUGGUGAGGUAAUGGCUCACCAAGGCGACGAUCCGUAACUGGNCUGAGAGGAUGAUCAGUCACACUGGAACUGAGACACGNUCCAGACUCCUACGGGAGGCAGCAGUGGGGAAUAUUGGACAAUGGGCGAA
rnacentral:rRNA from 1 species